rnacentral:rRNA from 1 species
AUGAACAAUCUCCCAUGGAUCAUUGGUGGGGAUUUUAGUGAGAUACUCUUUGGAAACGAGAAAUAAGGAGGUAAUGUUCGUCCUUGCAGAUGUAUGCAAGGAUUCAGGGAUGCACUAAAUUUCUACUCCCUUGAAGAUCUUGGACAUAAUGGAGACAUAUACACAUGGAGGAAAGGAAGGAUUAGGGAAAGGCUUGAUCAUAUAGUUGGCAACCAAUUGUGGAAAUCUAUGUUUCCAAUGCAUGGGGUUUUGCAUGAAGAAUUUGGCAAAUCUAAUCACAGACCAAUAAUUAUGGACACAAUGGUGCAUAGAAUAGGAAGCCGAUGGGGUAAAAUAGAUUUGAAGCUUGAUGGCUUCGUGAGGAUUCGGUAG